UACGAAGGGUGCAAACGUUGCUCGGAAUCAUUGGGCGUAAAGCGCACGUAGGCGGCUUCGCAAGUCGGAUGUGAAAUCCCUCGGCUCAACCAAGGACGUGCAUCCGAAACUGCGAAGCUUGAGUACAGAAGAGGAUCGCGGAAUUCCCGGUGUAGAGGUGAAAUUCGUAGAUAUCAGGAGGAACACCUGCGGUGUAGACGGCUUACUGGACGGUAACUGACGCUGAGGCACGAAAGCGUGGGUAGCAAACAGG
rnacentral:rRNA from 1 species